GGGGGCGACCUGGCUUCGACGCGGGUUACAAAACCUGAGGUGCAUGUCGAGUAGAUAACAGUGCUCGUAAAUCCCUUGUUAUAAACUUAUAGUUGCAAAUGAUAGCUAUAAAGGUGUAGCAGCUGCUAACGAUGCAAACGGAGCUUUGGCUCUAGCCGCAUAAUUAGCACUCUGGUCGCUUAAUAACCGACCGCACCCGAUUCCGAUACAAUUGCUUGUGUAGUUGAGGAAUCGUCAUACUUAACAAGAUCGCUGUUGGCCAUGGUCCAUCAUCCAGCAGUUAAAUAGUAGGACUCGCUAGUCGCUUUACCCUGCCCGUCGGGUGGCGCCUAGUUAACUUUAAAGGCGAGGCUAAGCAUGUAGAUCCUAAGGCGGAGGAUCAGCGGACGCGGGUUCGAUUCCCGCCGCCUCCACCA
rnacentral:tmRNA from 1 species